UGACCCCGUGCGGGAGAGCUCUCCGGACCACAGGCCCGGAGGCGCCGAAGGAGCAAAUCCUCCCCGGAAUCUCUCAGGCACCCGUACCGCACGGACGAG
rnacentral:ncRNA from 2 species